AGCUAUUGGGAACAAAGACAUCUGAUUAACAGGGGGCUGAAUCCUGCAUCCAAAAGCAUUCCUACCCGCCCUGCCGCAUUCAGAAGACAGACAGCUCAGCUGGGUCACGUACAAGCAAAGCAGGGCUGUUAUCAUCCUGGGACCUUCCUGUCAGUGCCCAGCUACACUAAGGUGCCACAGACAACACGCAGAAGCCUGAACUCCUGUGCUAUUAACCCACAGCUAUUUAAAACCUAGCAAGCACAAAGGGAAGACAGCGAUGGUGACAUCUCUACCUGAUGCUGAAACUGAUCGUGUAGGUCUCUCUUCUGCUCUUGGGCUCGAAUCAUGUCCAUGACUUUGCGGUUUUCCGGCAUGCAGGUGGGACACUCAGAAUCGCUCUCGGAGUAGCUCUCAAA